GCUGAAGAACGUAGCGAAAUGCGAUACUUGGUGUGAAUUGCAGAAUCCCGUGAACCAACGAGUCUUUGAACGCAAGUUGCGCCCGAAGCCACUAGGCCGAGGGCACGCCUGCCUGGGCGUCACACGCCGUUGCCCCCCCAUCUACUCCUUCGGGAUUGCGGGGGGGCGGAUGAUGGCCUCCCGUGCGCCUAGCCGCGCGGUUGGCAUAAAUACCAAGUCCUCGGCGACGCACGCCACGACAAUCGGUGGUUGCGAAACCUCGGUUGCCCGUCGUGUGCGUUCGUCGCGCAUCGAGGGCUCGAAAAAAUGCUCGGCUCCGGCUGGGCUUUCGACGCGACCCCAGGUCAGGCGGGGUUACCCGCUGAAUUUAAGCAUAUCAAUAAGCGGAGGA
rnacentral:misc_RNA from 1 species